rnacentral:rRNA from 1 species
AUUGAACGCUGGCGGCAUGCCUUACACAUGCAAGUCGAACGGCAGCACGGGUGCUUGCACCUGGUGGCGAGUGGCGAACGGGUGAGUAAUAUAUCGGAACGUACCUUAUUGUGGGGGAUAACGCAGCGAAAGCUGUGCUAAUACCGCAUAAUCCCUAAGGGGGAAAGCGGGGGACCGUAAGGCCUCGCGCAAUUAGAGCGGCCGAUACCUGAUUAGCUAGUUGGUGAGGUAAAGGCUCACCAAGGCAACGAUCAGUAGCUGGUCUGAGAGGACGAUCAGCCGAAGUGGGACUGAGAAACGGCCCAGACUCCUACGGGAGGCAGCAGUGGGGAAUUUUGGACAAUGGGGGCAACCCUGAUCCAGCAAUGCCGCGUGAGUGAAGAAGGCCUUCGGGUUGUAAAGCUCUUUUGUCAGGGAAGAAACAGCAGCUCUAACACAGUUUGCGAAUGACGGUACCUGAAGAAUAAGCACCGGCUAACUACGUGCCAGCCGCCGCCGUAA